GUGGGGAAUAUUGGACAAUGGGCGAAAGCCUGAUCCAGCCAUGCCGCGUGUGUGAAGAAGGUCUUCGGAUUGUAAAGCACUUUAAGUUGGGAGGAAGGGUUGUACGUUAAUACCGUGCAAUUUUGACGUUACCGACAGAAUAAGCACCGGCUAACUUCGUGCCAGCAGCCGCGGUAAUACGAAGGGUGCAAGCGUUAAUCGGAAUUACUGGGCGUAAAGCGCGCGUAGGUGGUUCAGUAAGUUGGAGGUGAAAUCCCCGGGCUCAACCUGGGAACUGCCUCCAAAACUGCAUGACUAGAGUACGGUAGAGGGUAGUGGAAUUUCCUGUGUAGCGGUGAAAUGCGUAGAUAUAGGAAGGAACACCAGUGGCGAAGGCGACUACCUGGACUGAUACUGACACUGAGGUGCGAAAGCGUGGGGAGCAAACAGGAUUAGAAACCCCUGUAGUCC
rnacentral:rRNA from 1 species